CUCCCCGCCGCGGCUGAAGGAAAGGCGAGACGAAGAGAAGAAAGAAAUAAAAGACUCCAAAAGCAAAGAGCGUCAGAUCACUGGUAACGGAGCAGCGUCCCGGCUCGCCGCGUGGCGGCGAGGAGGAGGAGGCGUUUUUGUUGUUUGCCGAUACCUCCUUGGUCCUGGGUUCUCGGACCAAAAUACCGCUUAGGUUGCGACCAGCGCAGGAGGCACUGGUUUCUCUUGUUGAGUUCUUUAGUUUGGUGAACUCAUAUACUUUGUUGCCGUUUCAGAGGAAGAUUUGCAGGGCAAGACGGAAGAGGAAAUUGAGAUGAUGAAAAUGAUGGGGUUUGCCUCUUUUGACACGACAAAGGUGAGUGUGGAUCGGGCGAUCCCACGGCUGUGCUGUACGGCUAGAGGUGGAGUCUGGAAACGGCUUUCCACUCUCUCUCCCCCUGGCUGUGAUGUAUGAAGGGUUUGUGCACAAAGGAGUCGUUGAGUCCGCUUGCCCGAACAGUCCCUCGUUAGCACCUGACAGGUCCUAACGAUGAUGUCCGGCUUUGCUCCGUAUGUGCCCAAGUCUCUUUCCCNNNNNNNNNNNNNNNNNNNNNNNNNNNNNNNNNNNNNNNNGCUGUGGUGCUUGGGCACAGAUCAGUGUUUUGCCCCUCGUAGAGGCAUCCUGUGUGAAAUGUCCCGAUCCCACCUGUACGUGUGCUCUCUGCGUUACCGUGCCCUUUCUCCGGCAGGCUCCGGACAGCGCGCUGACUUUUGGACCGUUUUUCUUGUGCCUUUCAGGGGAAGAAGGUGGACGGUGCCGCAAAUGCCUAUGCCAUCAACGUGUCACAGAAGAGAAAAUACAGGCAGUACAUGAACAGAAAAGGAGGAUUCAACAGACCUUUGGAUUUCAUUGCUUGACGCUUGGAUUGCAUCACUCAGGAAUAAAAUGAGAGAGAGGAGGCUGCUGAAGAUCUCUGGGCAGUUAUUUGCCUGAAUGUAGCGGUGGUUCAGAGUAGGCGUUAACAACCCGCAGUACGUGGGUAGCGCUGGAAGAAAGCUGCUUCCAAGGAGCAUGGGAACACGGCGUGAAGAGCUGAACGCCUCCUUGCACGCGUGUGGUCGGAGCUGCGUGGAGCCGGGAGCAGCUACCGAUGGUGUUAAUCCUGCUCUUUGAGCAGGCGGAGUUUGGGAACCUGUGGUUUAGGGUUUCAAGCAGAAAAGCGUUGGUUGUGUUUUUGUUUGUGUAUCGAUUGGCUCACCCCGACGCUUCGCUGCUUCUUAUCUUACUGCUGAAACAGUUGUUUGUGCAGGA
rnacentral:lncRNA from 1 species